rnacentral:rRNA from 1 species
AAGCGCUUGUGACCAGACUUGUGCCCGGCGGAUCAACCAGCGUUCUCGCUGGUGCACUCCUCCGGGCUCAGGCCAGCAUCGGUUCUGGUGGCUGGAUAAAGGCCUAGGGAAUGUGGCUCUCUUCGGGGAGUGUUAUAGCCCAGGUGCAAUACAGCCUACUAGGACCGAGGACCGCGCUCCGGCUAGGAUGCUGGCGUAAUAGGUGCAAGCGA